rnacentral:snRNA from 1 species
AGCUGGAGUUUUUCUUCAUUGUCGCAUAAAUCUUUUGCCCUUUACUAAAGAUUUCCGUGGAGGGGAACUUUUUGCAAGUAACCUGUAUUUUUUGAGGCUCUGAUCACAGCAGAGCU